CUUGUACACACCGCCCGUCACACCAUGGGAGCGGGUUUCACCAGAACGUAGCUAGCCUAACCUGCGAACGGGGGCGGUUACCACGGUGAGAUUCGUGACUGGGUG
rnacentral:rRNA from 1 species